rnacentral:rRNA from 1 species
UAACACGGGCCGCCCCCGCCAGAGGACCCCCUAACUCUGUUUCUAUUAUGUUUCUUCUGAGUAAAACAAGCAAAUAAAUUAAAACUUUCAACAACGGAUCUCUUGGCUCUGGCAUCGAUGAARAACGCAGCGAAAUGCGAUAAGUAAUGUGAAUUGCAGAAUUCAGUGAAUCAUCGAAUCUUUGAACGCACAUUGCGCCCGCCAGUAUUCUGGCGGGCAUGCCUGUUCGAGCGUCAUUACAACCCUCAGGCCCCCGGGCCUGGCGUUGGGGAUCGGCGAGGCGCCCCCUGCGGGCACACGCCGUCCCCCAAAUACAGUGGCGGUCCCGCCGCAGCUUCCAUUGCGUAGUAGCUAACACCUCGCAACUGGAGAGCGGCGCGGCCAUGCCGUAAAACACCCAACUUCUGAAUGUUGACCUCGAAUCAGGUAGGAAUACCCGCUGAACUUAAGCAUAUCAAUAAGCGGAGGAAAAGAAACCAACAGGGAUUGCCCCAGUAACGGCGAGUGAAGCGGCAACAGCUCAAAUUUGAAAUCUGGCUCUCGGGCCCGAGUUGUAAUUUGUAGAGGAUGCUUUUGGUGAGGUGCCUUCCGAGUUCCCUGGAACGGGACGCCAUAGAGGGUGAGAGCCCCGUCUGGUUGGACACCGAUCCUCUGUAAAGCUCCUUCGACGAGUCGAGUAGUUUGGGAAUGCUGCUCUAAAUGGGAGGUAUAUGUCUUCUAAAGCUAAAUACCGGCCAGAGACCGAUAGCGCACAAGUAGAGUGAUCGAAAGAUGAAAAGAACUUUGAAAAGAGAGUUAAACAGUACGUGAAAUUGUUGAAAGGGAAGCGCUUGUGACCAGACUUGGGCUUGGUUGAUCAUCCGGGGUUCUCCCCGGUGCACUCUUCCGGCCCAGGCCAGCAUCAGUUCGCCCUGGGGGACAAAGGCUUCGGGAAUGUGGCUCUCUCCGGGGAGUGUUAUAGCCCGUUGCGUAAUACCCUGUGGCGGACUGAGGU